rnacentral:rRNA from 1 species
AGUGAACGCUGGCGGUAGGCCUAACACAUGCAAGUCGAACGGCAGCACAGUAAGAGCUUGCUCUUACGGGUGGCGAGUGGCGGACGGGUGAGGAAUACAUCGGAAUCUACUUUUUCGUGGGGGAUAACGUAGGGAAACUUACGCUAAUACCGCAUACGACCUACGGGUGAAAGCAGGGGAUAUUCGGACCUUGCGCGAUUGAAUGAGACGAUGUCGGAUUAGCUAGUUGGCGGGGUAAAGGCCCACCAAGGCGACGAUCCGUAGCUGGUCUGAGAGGAUGAUCAGCCACACUGGAACUGAGACACGGUCCAGACUCCUACGGGAGGCAGCAGUGGGGAAUAUUGGACAAUGGGCGCAAGCCUGAUCCAGCCAUACCGCGUGGGUGAAGAAGGCUUUCGGGUUGUAAAGCCCUUUUGUUGGGAAAGAAAAGCAGCAGGUUAAUACCCCGCUGUUCUGACGGUACCCAAAGAAUAAGCACCGGCUAACUUCGUG